GGAUACAUCGAAUUGGUUGUGAAAUGUUGUUCAAUCAUAUCACAGCCAAUUUAAUGUAUUUGG
rnacentral:pre_miRNA from 1 species